UACAGAGGUCUCAAGCGUUGUUCGGAUUCAUUGGGCGUAAAGGGUGCGUAGGUGGCGGGGUUAGUCAGGUGUGAAAUCUCGGAGCUCAACUCCGAAACUGCACUUGAUACUGCCUUGCUUGAGUACUGGAGAGGAGAUUGGAAUUUACGGUGUAGCAGUGAAAUGCGUAGAUAUCGUAAGGAAGACCAGUGGCGAAGGCGAAUCUCUGGACAGUUACUGACACUGAGGCACGAAGGCCAGGGGGGCAAACGGG
rnacentral:rRNA from 1 species